rnacentral:lncRNA from 1 species
AUGCUUCGACCAUAAUUGUUGAGUUGAGAUAAGUGACGUUUUUUCGAAUGUUGAUUUGUAAAUCCAUCCGAUGUGUGGUAUACGUCCGCUCCUCGUCUGUUUUGGGUAAAACAAUGUUUUCGUCGAUUAAUACAAUAUAGCUUUAGCUAAAAUAGACCAACAAACAAAUGUUUUUCUACCCAAAACUACGUAAGCCUUGAGUUCUCUAUUGCACCCGGAGAUACGUAGGAGCAAGAUUUGU